rnacentral:rRNA from 1 species
GAUCCUACGGGGGGCAGCAGUGAGGAAUAUUGGUCAAUGGGCGCGAGCCUGAACCAGCCAAGUCGCGUGAGGGAUGACGGCCCUACGGGUUGUAAACCUCUUUUGCCGGGGAGCAACGGGCGCCACGUGUGGCGCCACUGAGAGUACCCGGAGAAAAAGCAUCGGCUAACUCCGUGCCAGCAGCCGCGGUAAUACGGGGGAUGCGAGCGUUAUCCGGAUUUAUUGGGUUUAAAGGGUGCGUAGGCGGCGCUUCAGGUCAGCGGUGAAAUACCGGGGCUCAACCCCGGGGCUGCCGUUGAAACCGG